AUUGAACGCUGGCGGAAUGCUUUACACAUGCAAGUCGAACGGCAGCACGGGAGCUUGCUCCUGGUGGCGAGUGGCGAACGGGUGAGUAAUAUAUCGGAACGUAUCCAAUAAUGGGGGAUAACUAAUCGAACGGUUGGCUAAUACCGCAUACGCCAUACGGGGCAAAGCAGGGGAUCUUCGGACCUUGCGUUUAUGGAGCGGCCGAUAUCGGAUUAGCUAGUUGGUGGGGUAAAGGCCUACCAAGGCGACGAUCCGUAGCUGGUCUGAGAGGACGACCAGCCACACUGGAACUGAGACACGGUCCAGACUCCUACGGGAGGCAGCAGUGGGGAAUAUUGGACAAUGGGCGAAAGCCUGAUCCAGCCAUGCCGCGUGUGAAGAAGGUCUUCGGAUUGUAAAGCACUUUAAGUUGGGAGGAAGGGCAGUAAGUUAAUACCUUGCUGUUUUGACGUUACCGACAGAAUAAGCACCGGCUAACUCUGUGCCAGCCGCCGCUGUAA
rnacentral:rRNA from 1 species